AUGAGCCGUCGCGUGGCCGUCAGAUUGCCUCAUAUCCUUAGAUCAGGUCAACACAAAAAAAUCGCACGCAGCAGCUUGCCAUCAAUCCCACCGUGCCUCUUCUACAGUGAACACAACAAUGGUGCUCGCCAUCAAUCCCACCUCACCGUGGUGCCUGCGUCAGCGACCUCACAGUACUGGAGCCACCGGCAGAGCUCCAAUGCAGCCGCACCGGAGACGAUGGAAAACAAGCUCAACGCAACGCCGACGACCACCGGGGAAGCUCCACUGCAGAUCCAUCGCAGCACCGCGGCACGAAAAAAAAGCUCCGACGCAGCACCGCCGGCGUCCCGGCGAAGCUCCAUUGCCGCCCCCGCCGUGCUCCAUUGCAGCCGCGGCGGAGCUUCAUUGCAGCCACCGGCGCGCGGCGUUCCGACGAAGCUCCAUUGCAGCCAACGCGGAGCUCCAUUGCAGCCACCGGCGCGCGGCGUUCCGACGAAGCUCCAUUGCAUCCCCGGCCGCGCUCCACUGCAGCCGCGGCGGAGCUCCAUUGCAGCUGGCGUGGUCCAUUGCAGCCCCCUGUCACGCUCCAUUGCAACACGGCCGGCGGCGGCGGGAGCUGCGAUGCAGCUCCGGUGGCACUUCAAUACAACCGCGGCGAAGCUUCAUUGCAGCUCCGGCGUACUUCAAUGCAGCUCAGGCGCGCAGCUUCCGACAGCGCUCCAUUGCAGCCCCUCGCGCUUCACUGCGGCACCGUCAGUGAAGCACGUUGCGUCAGGAUGCCGGCGGAGCAGCACGAGCAUGUGGCGCCGGACGCCGAUUUGCAGCAGCACGAGUGUCGCCACAUCGCGUCGGACGCCGAUUUGCAGCAGCACGAGCGUCGCCGCCCCGGCAAGAUCGACGCCAGCCGGUGCUGCAAGGCGGGCCGCAACCUACUUGCUGCAAAGGGGCGCCCCAGCGGUGCGUCGGGGCCGCCGGCGACGCUGCUCCAACGGAAAGACAGAGAAAGGGGAUGCUUCGGGGGGGUAG
rnacentral:rRNA from 1 species